GAACGAGCGAGAGAGAGCUUGCUUUCUCGAACGAGUGGCGAACGGGUGAGUAACGCGUGAGGAACCUGCCUCAAAGAGGGGGACAACAGUUGGAAACGACUGCUAAUACCGCAUAAGCCCACGGGUCGGCAUCGACCAGAGGGAAAAGGAGAAAUCCGCUUUGAGAUGGCCUCGCGUCCGAUUAGCUAGUUGGUGAGGUAACGGCCCACCAAGGCAACGAUCGGUAGCCGGACUGAGAGGUUGAACGGCCACAUUGGGACUGAGACACGGCCCAGACUCCUACGGGAGGCAGCAGUGGGGAAUAUUGCACAAUGGGGGAAACCCUGAUGCAGCGACGCCGCGUGGAGGAAGAAGGUCUUCGGAUUGUAAACUCCUGUUGUUGAGGAAGAUAAUGACGGUACUCAACAAGGAAGUGACGGCUAACUACGUGCCAGCAGCCGCGGUAAAACGUAGGUCACAAGCGUUGUCCGGAAUUACUGGGUGUAAAGGGAGCGCAGGCGGGAAGACAAGUUGGAAGUGAAAUCUAUGGGCUCAACCCAUAAACUGCUUCCAAAACUGUUUUUCUUGAGUAGUGCAGAGGUAGGCGGAAUUCCCGGUGUAGCGGUGG
rnacentral:rRNA from 1 species